rnacentral:rRNA from 1 species
AACGAACGCUGGCGGCAGGCCUAACACAUGCAAGUCGAACGCACCGCAAGGUGAGUGGCGCACGGGUGAGUAACACGUGGGAAUGUACCCUUUGGUUCGGAAUAACGUUUGGAAACGAACGCUAAUACCGGAUGAGCCCUACGGGGGAAAGAUUUAUCGCCAAAGGAGCAGCCCGCGUCUGAUUAGCUAGUUGGUGGGGUAAAGGCCUACCAAGGCGACGAUCAGUAGCUGGUCUGAGAGGAUGAUCAGCCACACUGGGACUGAGACACGGCCCAGACUCCUACGGGAGGCAGCAGUGGGGAAUAUUGGACAAUGGGCGGAAGCCUGAUCCAGCCAUGCCGCGUGAGUGAUGAAGGCCUUCGGGUUGUAAAGCUCUUUCGCACACGACGAUGAUGACGGUAGUGUGAGAAGAAGCCCCGGCUAACUUCGUGCCAGCCGCCGCGGUAAUAC